rnacentral:rRNA from 1 species
AAAACGACUCUCGGCAACGGAUAUCUUGGCUCUCGCAUCGAUGAAGAACGUAGCGAAAUGCGAUACUUGGUGUGAAUUGCAGAAUCCCGUGAACCAUCGAGUCUUUGAACGCAAGUUGCGCCCUAAGCCUUCUGGCCGAGUGCACGUCUGCCUGGGUGUCACAAA